rnacentral:tRNA from 2 species
GGAUAUAGCUCAGUUGGCAGAGCGUCGGAUUGUGGAUCCGAAUGUCGUGGGUUCGAGCCCCAUUAUC